CCUACGGGAGGCAGCAGUGAGGAAUAUUGGUCAAUGGGCGCGAGCCUGAACCAGCCAAGUAGCGUGAAGGAUGACUGCCCUACGGGUUGUAAACUUCUUUUAUAAGGGAGUAAAGUGAGGCACGUGUGCCUUUUUGCAUGUACUUUAUGAAUAAGGAUAGGCUAACUCCGUGCCAGCAGCCGCGGUAAUACUGAGGAUACGAGCGUUAUCCGGAUUUAUUGGGUUUAAAGGGAGCGUAGAUGGGUUGUUAAGUCAGUUGUGAAAGUUUGAGGCUCAAACGUAAAAUUGCAAUUGAUACUGGCAGCCUUGAGUACAGUUGAGGUAGGCGGAAUUCGUGGUGUAGCGGUGAAAUGCUUAGAUAUCACGAAGAACUCCGAUUGCGAAGGCAGCUUACUAAACUGCCACUGACAUUGAUGCACGAAAGUGUGGGUAUCAAACAGGAUUAGAUACCCCUGUAGUC
rnacentral:rRNA from 1 species